GACAGAGGUGGCAAGCGUUGUUCGGAUUUACUGGGCGUAAAGAGUGCGUAGGUGGUGAGGUAAGACCUGUGGGAAAGACCUGGGCUUAACCCAGGAAGGUCGCAAGUGACUGCCUCGCUUGAGGACGGGAGAGGAGAGCGGAAUUCCCGGUGUAGCGGUGAAAUGCGUAGAGAUCGGGAAGAAGGCCGGUGGCGAAGGCGGCUCUCUGGAACGUUCCUGACACUGAGGCACGAAAGCGUGGGGAGCAAAUAGG
rnacentral:rRNA from 1 species